ACCGGAAAACAAGAGUUAAGACGGUUUGCUUCAUAGACAUAAUAUAAGAUUAUAUUAUGUCUAUGGUUUGCUUGUCUCCCAUAGUCUCCUGUCAGUCAGUACUGAGUCCUAUCUCACGGACUAGGAAGAAGAGAACGUUCUUCAUCUUUGGGACUGAGGAUUAUCGCGCACAUUCUUCAGAGCAAAGCUAAAGGUUUCCUAGCAGCAUAACACGGACUUUACUAAGUUUGCAGCCCAUGGACAAGGGAGCGAGAAAACACACUGAUCACUCCUGGCUUCAGCACAUAUGACGGACCCACCGGCAGGCAGACCCUCCUCUUCCUGACCCACAGCUGCCCUGAACGCUCUACCAGCCUCUAAUGCCCGUCAGGGUCAUUUAAUCUGCCAGAAGGGAGUCGAGCUUCCACAGACGCCCGAGAACGACUCCGUCGUCAUCGCGGAAAGCUCCGGUGACAGAGGGUUGUUUCGGUUCUAGAGGUGGGAGAUGCAGCUGUUCGCGGUGACAACUCCCGACGUUUUACCACGCUGCCACGAAGGAUGACAUGAAGCUAAUCCCACCGUAAGACAGAUAGACAGGUUCAUGCUCAGUUUGAGGGAAAACGUGCACAGUUCACAUUCUUCAAACAUGUCCCCAAACAGCUACGUCAGUGAUUACCACAGAAGUGAAAAUCAUCUGCCUUAAUUAAAUGCCAUAAUCACAAUUAGACUGACAGGCUUUAGCUGUCCCGCACACAUUACUGCAGUAAACACACACAUACACACGCACACACACACCCCAUCUGCAGCUAACAAGCUUUUAUUGUUCAGAUUAGUCCAAACCUGAUUUGACUGUUUGCUUACAAUUUAGCUGCUUUUGUGAUGUACGCCAAUUUCCUUCUGCGUCUUAUGCACAGUUUUGUUUUCUAAGAGGUAUUUGCAAAGCAACAAAGAUGGACAGUAAUGGGUAAUGUACGAAUCAAACCCUGAACUCUGGCCAGGAAAUGUUAGAGAGGCAAUAUUAUGUAAAAUAGACUCUGUUUUUUUUGCUUUACAUUGUGUUAUAAUGUUAUUCCUUCAUAAACAAC